rnacentral:lncRNA from 1 species
UAGCAUUAGCAAAGAGAUAGAGAGAGAAGAAGGGAGCUAAAUAAGGAGAGGAGAUACAUAGGAGAUGAAGAAUCAGCCAAAUUUGAGACUUGUGUUUAUCUUUCUUCUAGUGACUAUCUUGGUCUCCUGCUCUAUCGAAUCUGCUCUUGCUUCUCCACUAACCGGUUAGUGCUUCACAAGUUCAUAGUGCAAAAGUAAUGAAAAUAUGUAUGCACCUAGAGCAACAUAUUUGGGGAAAAAAAUAACAUGGUCAUCACUUCAUCUAAUUCAAUUAGCAUGAAUUAGUGCUUAUGCCAAGUUUUUUUUUUUUUGUUUCUUUUAUAGGAUGGAGGCAGAAGAUGAUACAAUCACCAGGAUCAAGAAGUAAACAAACUGGAGGUUAUGGUCGUCGUUACGGCCCCGGUCAUGGCUAUUAUAUUCCGAAGCCGCCACCACCAGUAUUGUCACCAUUAUCAUCACCACCACCACCACUAGCCCCAUCAUCAAUGCCAUUGUCAUUGCCGUGAUACAAAGAAACUUGCUAAAUUAUUUUUAGUCUUACAACAUAUUAAGUUACGUUAGGCUAUGUAUAAAUCAUAGCUACCGCAACGUG